AACGACAAAACGGAAGAGAAAAGGUGCAACUUUGCCCCCUAGUAUUUGGCGCGAAGAGCAUAUUAGCAUUUUAAUUGUUUUUGGUGCAAAUAAGCCCUUAAACUGGUAAAAUCUUGAAUUUAAGCCCUCUUUUUAUGGGAACUUUUAACGGUAUUGACUUAGGCAAAUUGCAUUUUUAAUCUCUUAAACUUCUUUGUUUUAUUUUAUUAAGUCCUCUAAUUUUUAUUUUAUUUUUUUUAUUGAAUUUUUGUACUUUUACUUUUGAUUUUAUUAAGGACCUAAUAGUCCUUGAUCAAAACAAAAAUAAAAAUACAAUAGUUCAAUAGAAUAAAUAAAAAUUUAAAACAUAUGUAUAAGAAUAAAAUUGAAAAAUUCAGAAGCUUAAAUGAGUUUUUUGCGACUAAUUUAUGGUAACAUAUGUUGAUAUGUCUCAAAAAUGGAUCCUACUAAUAAAAUAAAAUAAAUUGUAAUAAUUUAUUUUAUUAUUUUUAAAGUAUUAAAUUAGAAAAGAAAGAUAUAUUUUCUUUCUUCUUCCUUAUCGGUACCACUCUUUCUAUCUCCUUUCAUUACUAUGGCAUAAUAAUCCGGUUUCAGACUCGCACUCAACAUCCUAAAGAAAAAGUUCCAAAGCUUCUUGGCAUACAAAUCCACCAAAGACGCGGCAUCAAACAUAUUCUUAGAUAUACCUGUCUAUCUAAAUCCUUGAUUUCAACAUUUGGAUAAUCGUAAAACUAUCAGACCUCAAACGCAUCUUAACAUCCUACGAAACAAAUUAAUAGUCUCCCUGCACUUACCAACACCUACAUACCCACUUAUAAUAGCAGUCUAAGGCACACAAUAUUGUUUUCAGGAAUAAAAUCAAGUAUCUUCAAGGCAUCAUCUAUAUACCCACCCUUAGCAUAUAAAUUAAACUAGUGUUACCAAACAAAUCACAAUUACAAUCCAUUUUAAUUAACAACAAGAGUAUGCAUUAUUAAUAUCCAAUUGAAAAUCCCAAAGCCUCGCACAUGCAACAACUUCUUCUAGAUCACCAUUUGUUCUCCAGGAGGGCUAAUUAGCUGGAAGGUAAUAUGGCAUUGGGAGGGACCACAAAGGAUCCGGAUGUUUUUAUGGUUGGCUAUUCAAGACGGUCUUGUUACGAAUGUGGAGAGAGGCAGAAGACAUUUAACUGAUUUUAUACUUCGUGAUAGAUGUAAAAGAGAAUCGGUAACACUGCUGCAUGCUUUGAGAGAUUGCCCAAUCUCAAGACAGGUUUGGUCUCUCCUUAUUCCUCUGGAUUCUUAUGCAGAUUUUGUUUAUCUUCCUUUGCAGCAAUGGAUUAUGUUGAAUCUGCAUAAGAAACAAGUCGCUAUGUCAAAUAUAGAGUGGAAAUGCUUAUUUGGUGUAACUUAUUAGAGAUUGUGGGCGGUUUGAAAUGGUAACCUCUUUGGCAAUACUCACUAGAGUUUGGAUAGGAUUGUCAAUGAUAUAAUAACUCGAGUAACUAAGAUGCUCAUGGCUCAUGAAAGAGAGUGUGUCCUUACUAUUGGAUAGGAAAUAAGAGGAGCCAUUAAUUGGUUGGAAGCCACCAAUGACGGGAUGGUUCAAGCUAAGCUCUGACGGAGCAUAUAAGGUUAGUAAUGGAGCUGCCUUUACAGGGGGGUUAAUUCGAGAUUGUACUGGACGAUGGUUUUGUGGGUUUGUAAUGAACAUUAGAUAUUGCACUAUUAUACGAGUUGAAUUGAGGGGAUUAUAUCAGGGGCUAGUUAUGUGUUGGAAUGAAGGAUUGCGUUGAGUUAUUCCAGAGAUAGAUAGCAGGGUUGUGGUUCAACUAGUGAUGGAGGCGAAUCCUCAAUGUCAUGCUAAUGCAGCACUUGUAGCAUAAAUCAAAGCAUUAAUACAGCAAGAUUAGGAAGUAUAAGUUCAUCAUAUUUAUUGAGAAGCAAAUCAUGCUGCUGACUUUUUGGCCUCCUAUGCUGCUAAAUACUCAUUGGGAUUUCACUACUUGGAUGAUGCUUCGUCUAGUUUGCUUGAAUAAAUUAAUUCGAAUAUACAUGGUGCUUGCUUUUCUAGAUUUAAUAGCUUGUUAAGCUUUGAGGAUUGGUCUCUGUUUGUUACCAAAAAAUAGAGGGCUAAUUAUUUAGCUCAUUAUUACCAAAAUUGGAUUGCACUUUUUUUUUCUGUCUA